rnacentral:rRNA from 1 species
CAUGUCCUUUUGAUUUGAAUUUAAGGUUUAAUCUGCUCAAUGAUGAUUUAAAUUGCCGCAGUAUUUUAACUGUGCAAAGGUAGCAUAAUAAUUAGUUUCUUAAUUAGGAGCUGGAAUGAAUGAUUGGACGAAAAAGUAACUGUCUCUUUUUAAUUGAUUAUUGAAUUUUAUUUUUAAGUAAAAAAGCUUAAAUUUUAAUAAAAGACGAGAAGACCCUAUAGAGUUUAAUAUUUUAAUAAGAUUAAUUUUUGGAAAAUUUGUUUAGUAUUUAAGUAUUUAAUUGGGGUGAUUUAUGGAUUUAAAUAAUUCUUUAAUUUAUUUAUUGUUGAUUAGUAAUUUUAAAAUCUAAAAUUUUUAAGUUUAAUAUAAAUUACCUUAGGGAUAACAGCGUAAUUUUUCUUUAAAGUUCUUAUUGAAAGAAAAUUUUGCGACCUCGAUGUUGGAUUAAAAUUAAUUUUUGGAGUAGUAGCUAGAAGAUUAGGUCUGUUCGACCUUUAAAAUU